rnacentral:rRNA from 1 species
AUGAAAAUCAUCGGUUGGAACUGCCGGGGGCUCGGGAAUGGCCCGGCAGUUCGUAGUCUCCUUGAAAUGGGGAGAAUGGAGGAGCCCGACGUACUGUUCUUGGCGGAGACAAAACUAACAGAGAAAGAAAUGGAGAGGUUCAGGUGGAUGAUGGGUUUGACACACAUGGUUGCUUGGAACCCAGAAGGGAGGAGCCGUGGGAUUGCAUUGUUCUGGCGUAGGGGAGUGGGAGUUUCGUUGCGAUCUUAUGGACGGAGACAUAUAGAUGUGGAUGUAACAGAUGAUGAAGGGAAAGUCUGGAGGUUGACGGGUAUUUAUGGGGAAUCCGAAUCGGGGCGUAAGAAGGAAACCUGGAGGACUUUGAGAAUACUAGGACAGCAGCAUCAGAACGGACGACCGUGGUUGUGUCUUGGUGAUUUUAAUGAAAUCUUAUCAAGUGAUGAGAAGGUUGGAGGAGGGACUCGGCCGCAACAACUCAUGAACAACUUUAGAGAAGCCUUGGAGGCAUGUGAUCUGUGUGACAUUGGCUUCAGGGGGGAUAAAUUCACCUGGAGGAAUCAUAGUAAAGAGCUACGAAACUACAUUUGCGAGCGGUUGGAUCGGGCCAUUGCUACUGCGAAAUGGUGUGAGGCGUUUCCCGCUUUCACUGUCACAAAUGGUGAUCCUCGCCAUUCGGACCACCGCCAGUAA